UUUUGAUUUCAACUAGUGUGGUUUCUGCUGCUGCAGAUAGUUAUAUUUACUCUUCUCCUCCACCACCUUACGAGUAUAAGUCGCCACCGCCACCAUCACCUUCACCACCACCUCCUUAUGUUUACAAAUCGCCACCUCCUCCAUCCCCAUCACCUCCACCACCUUAUGAGCACAAGGCUCCUGCUUAUGAGUACAAGUCACCACCACCACCAACUCCUUCACCACCACCUCCUUAUGUGUACAAGUCACCACCACCGCCAUCUCCUUCACCACCACCUCCUUAUGUGUACAAGUCACCACCACCACCCUCACCUUCCCCACCACCACCAUACUACUACAAGAGUCCUCCACCACCUUCUCCUUCACCUCCACCUCCUUACUACUACAAAUCUCCUCCACCACCCUCACCUUCCCCACCACCACCAUACUAUUACAAGUCUCCUCCACCACCAUCUCCCUCACCUCCACCACCAUAUUACUACAAGUCUCCCCCACCACCCUCACCCUCCCCUCCACCCCCAUAUAUACACAAGGAUCCACCAUACUAUUACAAGUCCCCACCACCACCUUCACCAUCUCCUCCACCACCAUACUACUACAAAUCUCCCCCACCCCCUUCACCGUCUCCUCCACCACCAUACUACUACAAAUCUCCUCCUCCUCCAUCUCCUAUUCCCAAAACACCUUACUACUACAAAUCUCCCCCACCCCCUUCACCAUCUCCUCCACCACCAUACUACUACAAAUCUCCCCCACCCCCUUCACCGUCUCCUCCACCACCAUACUACUAUAAAUCUCCCCCACCACCGUCACCCUCUCCACCACCACCUUACUAUUACAAGUCUCCUCCCCCACCUUCACCAUCUCCUCCACCACCAUACUACUACAAAUCUCCUCCUCCUCCAUCUCCUAUUCCCCAUACACCUUACUAUUACAAAUCUCCCCCACCACCUUCACCAUCUCCUCCACCACCAUACUACUACAAAUCUCCUCCUCCUCCAUCUCCUAUUCCCCGUACACCUUACUAUUACAAAUCUCCCCCACCACCUUCACCAUCUCCUCCACCACCAUACUACUACAAAUCCCCUCCUCAUCCAUCUCCCAUUCCCCAUACACCUUACUAUUACACAUCUCCCCCACCACCUUCACCGUCUCCUCCACCACCAUAUUACUACAAAUCUCCUCCCCCUCCGUCUCCUAUUCCCCACACACCUUACUACUACAAGUCCCCACCACCACCAAAGGUCCUUCCACCACCAUACUAUUACAAUUCUCCUCCUCCACCUGUUGUGUAUCCUCACCCAUAUCCCUACCACCACUCACUUAUUGUGAGGGUAGUCGGUAAAGUCUACAGCUUCAGAUGUUAUGAUUGGAAUUAUCCUGCAAAGUCUCAUAACAAGAAACAUCUCAAAGGUACAUUACAUUUCUUAGGACCGGACCUCUUUAGAGUAAUGUGUUUAGAGAUAAUGCACAAUUUUUUAUUUUUUUAUCUCGUAAAGGUUUAUUUAUUAUAAUCACAAUUUCACUUUUGUCAAAAAGAAAAACAAUUUUACUAUAUAUAGUUUUAAUCAUUAACAUUUUGAUGUAAAAAGAAUACAAUUCUCUAUUACCUUUUUACUAUGAUAUAUAUACAAAGAUUAUUCAAAUCUAUAUAUCCAACCUAAUUUCCAUCCAAAAAAAUAGAAAACAUAGGGUGCUUUGAACGCCUGCAGCAUCACAUGAAUAAAUAAAAACAAUCAAUAAUCAACCUUGUUCUAAUUUAUUUUAGACAGCGAUUGUUAAGCAUACUGCUCUUUUAAUUACAUUUUUUUUAAAGAUGCUCUUUUAAUUAUAUUGUCCUAAUAUAAUAUGUGUCUUUAUAUAUUACUUGUCGUAAACUAAUUUUAUUAUGGGUGCAGGAGCUGUUGUUGAGGUGACAUGCAAAGCCGGGAGCAAAAUUGUCAAGGCUUAUGGAAAAACUAAGAACAAUGGAAAGUAUGCCAUCACAGUUAAGGACUUUGACUAUGUCAAAUAUGGUUCGACAGUGUGCAAGGCUGCCCUAUAUGCUCCACCUAAGGGUUCACCCUUCAACAUACCUACAAAGCUAAAUCAAGGAACAAAGUUGUACUUGAAAUCCAAAGACAAGUACGAGGUUGUGCUCAAGGCUAAGCCAUUUGCUUAUGCUUCAAAGAAACAUUUCAAAGAAUGUGAGAAGCCUAAGCCUUCACCAACUCCUUACUACUACAAAUCACCUCCACCUCCCUCACCAGUUUACAAAUACAACUCACCACCUCCACCGGUCCAUUAUUAUUCACCUCCAUACACCUACAAGUCACCUCCUCCCCCUGUGAAAGCGGCACCAACUCCUUACUACUACAAAUCACCUCCACCACCCGCACCGGUUUACAAGUACAACUCACCCCCUCCACCGGUCCAUUAUUAUUCACCACCAUAUACCUAUAAGUCACCUCCUCCCCCUGUGAAAGCGGCACCAACUCCUUACUACUACAAAUCACCUCCACCUCCCGCACCGGUUUACAAGUACAACUCCCCACCUCCACCGGUCCAUUAUUAUUCACCUCCAUAUACCUACAAGUCACCUCCUCCCCCUGUGAAAGUGGCACCAACUCCUUACUACUACAAAUCACCUCCACCACCCGCACCGGUUUACAAGUACAACUCACCACCUCCACCGGUCCAUUAUUAUUCUCCACCAUACUACUACAAGUCACCACCCCCACCAUCUCCAUCACCUCCUCCACCAUACUAUUUCAAAUACUAUUACAAGUCCCCACCUCCACCAUCACCAUCCCCUCCUCCACCUUAUUAUUACAAAUCUCCUCCUCCACCAAAACAAAUUUCACACCCUCCAUACUACUAUAAGUCACCACCCCCACCAUCACCAUCACCUCCUCCACCAUACUAUUAUAAGUCUCCACCUCCACCAUCACCAUCUCCCCCACCACCUUAUUAUUAUAAGUCACCACCCCCACCAUCCCCGUCCCCUCCUCCACCAUACUACUACAAGUCUCCACCUCCACCUAAAGAAAUAUCACAUCCUCCAUAUAACUAUAAGUCACCACCCCCACCAUCACCAUCCCCUCCCCCUCCAUACUAUUACAAAUCUCCUCCACCACCAUCACCAUCACCACCACCUCCCUACUAUUACAAAUCACCUCCACCACCAUCACCAUCACCUCCCCCUCCAUACUAUUACAAAUCUCCUCCACCACCAUCACCAUCACCACCACCUCCUUACUAUUACAAAUCACCUCCACCACCAUCCCCAUCACCACCACCUCCAUACUACUACAAAAGUCCCCCUCCACCAUCUCCAUCUCCUCCAUCCCCAUAUUACUACAAAUCUCCACCACCACCAUCACCAUCCCCACCCCCUCCCUACUAUUACAAAUCACCUCCACCUCCCUCACCAUCACCGCCACCUCCUUACUAUUACAAAUCACCUCCACCUCCCUCACCAUCACCGCCACCUCCUUACUAUUACAAAUCUCCCCCACCUCCAUCUCCAUCUCCACCACCUCCUUACCACUAUCAAAGUCCUCCUCCACCAUCUCCCAUUUCUCAUCCUCCCUACUACUACAAAUCCCCUCCACCACCAUCGCCGUCUCCUCCACCUCCUUACCACUAUGUGAGUCCUCCCCCACCAGUAAAGUCACCUCCACCACCAACUUAUAUCUAUGCUUCACCACCACCACCUCACUACAACUAAGCUCAAAGAGCAGAAGCUCCGUUCAUUAUAAAUCAUGUAAGUUUAUCAUCUUCAAUUUUCUGAAUGUGUGCGUGUGUAUUUGUUUUUUUGUUACAAGAUACUAACAAAAUUCUUUUCUUAUUUAUGUUCAGGUUUUAGUUUUCAUCUAGGAAUAAAGGCAAGCUCCAUUUGGAGUAAAGUGAAACUUCUAGCUUCGUGUCCGAAUUCGUUAAAUAAAUGUCGGGAUGUAUCGUCUUUGAGCUAUAAUAUUUCUGAUCCAGACAAUAUCUAUUUUGUUUCUUUGGUGGCAAUCUUGCACUUCCUGGUCUUAGUCUAUUCAAGUGACAGACAAAUCAAAAGGGAGAAGCGAGAUUAAUUUAUUUGUGAUCUCUUUGAUUUAUUUGUGCAUAUAUCAAUAUGAACGUGUAUGAUAUUUUUCUAUUUAUUGAAGAUUUUUUUACUGUAACCUGUUAUUGUGUUUGUCAAAAGGUGUUAAUAAAGAAUCACAUUCAAUUUCUGUUAAAUUAUCAGUAUUUGUUUCUUUCUAACAACUACCAUUCAUGCAAAUGUGGCUAUUAAAAAAAGCUCCAAUGACACAUAAAAAGCUUCCAAACAAUAUAUAAACAAAGAUGCAUUGUUUUCUGUUAAGAAGGGGACAGGGUUACGGUUACUUGUGUACCAAGUUAGUUAUCCAUGCUUUCUUGUUCAUAGGAUUUAUAUGGUGUAGUUGCACUUAGUUGCUAAAUGUAUGCAAGCUUUUCCUUUCUAUAAAUAAGCACACCUACUAUCAUUCUUCUCCACAUUCCUUUCUACUCUUCUAUCAUGAAUUGUUCAUCCACAUAAGAUGGUCACAGAGCACACCUAAUACUCUGCUACUGGUGUAUCAGUUCCUUUCCACCAGAAACUUAUGAUCUCUAAUUGAAAGAGAUCCUAAAGUUUUAAGAUUUCUACAAAAUACAUUAUUCUCAUUUUUGUACAAGUAUGAUACAAUUAUUCCCAAGUAUUAUUUAUUCUAAGGAAUAGAAUUUAGUUGUGGUUUCUCUAUUUAACCAACAUUUAUUUUUAAAUAACUAAAUUUAAAAAAAAAAUCCUGAAAUUAUUAAGUACAUACCUAACACAUUGUAAAAUUUUGUUCCCAAAGAAAAUAUUUUUGGCAAUAGAAUUUUCAGGAACUUCAUUCCUAGGAAUAUAAUUCUAUACUAAGAGAAGAGCUUAAGCAUUGAUACAUAACAAGACCAAUCCAUAUCCUAAUCACAAUCCUACUUUCACUAAAUACUUUCACUUAAGUGUGGUCUUGGAAAGGACAAAUGAAGAAAGACAUUCCAGAGGUAUGGUAAGGGACAAUAUCUGCAGUUAUGCACAUAUUGCAAGAUUGUGAGGAACUACCGGACUGAUUUGAUUCACCAAAAAAUUUGGAAUAAAUAUUUCAGCCCAGAACUCAGACAAUGACUGGAUUGGAACCUUUCAGCUUCUAAUAUCGGUACUGUCCAAGGAAAUAGUCAUUCUCUUUUUGGAGUAGCUGUGAAGGAUUUAUGGAAAGAUAGAACUAAGCUGGUCUUUUCUAGAAACACCGCGAUUGGAACUACUCUAUUUUGGCUUGUAGCCAAUCCGGCUAAGUUUAUUAACAAUGUAGUUUGUACUCAAGCUCACAGUCACGAUGUUGUCAGCAACAGUGGGCAUAUUGUUUAGGUAGCCUGGAAUUUUCCUCCCCAACACUUCUUCAAAGUGAAUAUGAUGGAUCUCUACGGGAUUAUGUUAGUUUCCAGGAUCGAACUCAGAACCUCCUGAUUAUAACUCCUUCAAUGUAUGUCCCUUACCCACGUGGGGCCUCGGCUGUAAUUGUUAACAUGGUAAAAUUUGGCUCUUCCAAUAAUGGUUUUAUCCAAACUCGAGGUUGUUUAUCGUCUCCAACAAUCAGAUUGGAGAAUACUAGUGGUUCAUGCAUUUGAACAAACCAACUGUUGUGCAGAUUUUCUAGUUGAUUUUGUUUUUCCUUUUUUGAGUAUUUUAUUAGCCAAUGAUAUAAGAGGUUGUAGCCUACCUCUUUUGAUUUCUUAAGACAAUCACUUUUGCAUUAGAAAAAAACGACCCUACAUAAAAUUAAUGAUUGAAUUAAGAUAUAACUUCAGUUUGAAAUAUUGUAAAAUUCUAUACCACCAAAAACUGAGAAUUUUAGAACCAUACAGGUUGGUGGAGUGGUCAUCCAGAUAACUUUAACAUAAUUAACAGUCCAAAAAGUAAAUAGCUUUAUCCUUUAUUUUCAAUCUGAUGUGAUUUACUCUUAUCUGUUAAACAUUAUAAUUAAGAAUCCAAAGGGAACACUCACCUAAUCUCUCUCUUUUUUCUAGCUUUUUCACUAAACCACUGUGUCUGUGGUUACCACAUUUCCUUAUGGAAUCAAUAUCCAAUUUAUGUUAAAAACCAUUUCUACAUUUUGUGUUAAAAAUGAUCUAAACAAAGAUGAUUUAUUUCUCUUAAAUUCAACAUAGAUCAUAUUUACAUGGUUCAAACUUUCUAUUACACGGCAUUGACUUAGUUGCUUCACAUGGGGACACAACUAAUGCAUAUAUUAUUUUAUAUGCUUAUAGUAAUUUUAACAAGUGGCAAUGGGGCAUAUGUUUUGUCAAAAAAACACAAAAAACAGGAGGCAUGUGCAACUGAAGUCACUGCCAGCUUGGCACUAAGAUAUAGUAAAAUAAUUGACAUUUGAAGAAAACAAAGACGUUGCUACAUUUCUAUUCAAACAAGCGACAUCAAUAUCAGACAAUGGUGCUACAUUUAAUAAUACUACAGCUAUCCCCAUAAGCACCUCUUAGAAAGAAAAAAAAAUAUCCAUUAAAUUAAUGUUGGAAGAGUUAGCAACAUGUCCUCUCCCAAAAAAACUCAUGUUUGAUUCCUAGAGUCGUCCAUUUCGAAAGAAGCUCAACCCUGAUAAUAAAAACCUAGAUGUUAUGCUGCAGACUUAAAGAUCAAUUUCAUAAUGGAUCCAAAGGGCCUAAGCUGUGUGGGAUACUUAAGGGGGUAUAUUGAGGCUAAGGGUCAAAGAUCUUAAUUAUGGUCGGUUAAAAAAAGAAGAAAAAAAAAUUAUCUCUAAAUAUAAAGUCAACAAUAUUUCAAAUUGCAAGAUACAUUUAUUUAUUUUUUAAAUAUGUAUAUACCUCUUAUUAAUACUUACUAAUUUGUUUUGAGUGAUAAAAAGUUACGAGUUAGACAGAUCAGCACAUAAAAAAAGUAUUUGAAAAACAUCUACCAACAAAAUAAACACAUUAAAAACAAUACUACUUUUUUACAAUACUGUAUGUGAAAAUGACAAAAUCUUGAAAAAGAUGGAGGUAACAUGUACUCUUUUUUUUUUAGAGGGGAGCAUGUACUUUUCCACUAACAAUGUUGAUAAGAAACAUAUAAAAUACUAUUAGAGAAAGAAAAAAAAUAAUAAAUAAAGAAAUAUAUAAAAUACUGAGGAAUGACUCACUCAUGUCAAAUUUUAGCAAGGGAGAAGUGAUAUCACAUCAUUUUAGAAGAGGAAUGAGAAUAGAUAGAUCUAAUUUUUCUAGUAAGUUUGAAUAGUAGAAUCAUACUUCUUUGUCUUUUGUGAAAAUUUCAUAUUAUGGGAUCUAUUACUAGAAUACAGGUGAUUUUAUUCUGGAAGAUUGACUUUUUAUUAAAAUAAAAUAAAAGUACAUUUUUUAUUUCCAAAUGCUUAGUUGUUCAUUUAUAAAUAUUACAUUAUCCAACAGCACCAAACCCUAUUUCAUAACGGUACUCUGCACGUUUCAUUCAUUUACUGGUGCCUUAGUUUUUUGUUACAAACAGACAUUGAUCAGAGGAACAAAUGUAGAGACAAAUUGAAGAUAAUAUAUCACAUAAUAUUGUAGACACACCUUCACAUACAAAUGGGGUAAAGUCCCUCAUAGUAGUAUUAGAAAUAACACUUAGAGUAAAAUUUUGCUAAAUUUAACAUGAAAAUAAGUGUAAUGUAUUUUAUAGGCAGCUAUACAUAAUUAUUAAUUAGAACAAUUUUUUACACUGUCAAACAAAAAUUGAACAAUUUUUUACUAGCUUUAUGCUUUAUGAUGUUUUGAUUCCAUGUGCACAUUUCAAUUUUAGAACUAUUCCUUUCUAUGUUACUGAAAUAAUUCUAUCAUUAGGCAUUGACAUUUCCAUUAUGCGUGCACGUUAAAGUGUUUUCCCAAACAGAGAAAUAUUAAGAAAGGUUAAACUUUUGACUUAAAGACACAACUAAAAUAAGAUCCAAGGAAAACCCCAUUGAUUAUUUCUUGCACAAAAUUAAAAACCCCAUUGAUUAUUUCUUGCACAAAAUUAAAAUGCUAAUAAUUUUUCCUGGUCUAUAUUUUUCUCCUUCCGGGAAAUGGCAACAUCACAUGUUCAUCUCAUAAUUGAGAAAACACAUGUCUGGGAAAAUAUCUUAAAGAAAAGGCAGUAAAGUAAUAAAAAGUGCACCAAAUAGAGAUUAACUAGUACUCUUUGCAUGUCAACUAAGUGGUAUAAUUAUGUAUAUCACAUUCUUAAUAUUGAUUAUCUUGAUUGCACGAUAAGCCCCUCAAAUUGCUCAAUCGAUGAUUGCUUGAUAAGCCCAUCAAAUUGCCCAAUCGAUCGAAUCGUAACUUUCGAUAGACAUUUUUUUUAAGAAAACCCAAUUGGAUCAUAACUCCCCAUAGUCAUUUAUUUGAAAUUGUGAGCAAUUUGAUAACUUAUUGAGCAAUCACCAUUGAUUUUAGUCUCAAUUUAUCCUAAUGUUGUAACCCUGGAAUAAUGGAACAGUGAGUAAAUUUGGUUUCUCCGUCUCAAAAUAAGUGUCACAAUUUAACCAUGUGCACUACUCAUCAAAUCUACUUUGACAACAUUUUUUUUACUAAUAUAUAAAGACAAUGUUAGUACAUUACAUGUUCGAUUUGUCUUAGUUAAUGUUUUUAAAAUAUCGACUUUAUUAUAAUUUUUCUUAAUAGACAAUCAAAAAUAUCAAUUGUCAAAAUUGUGUAUUGAUAUGUAUGAAAAUCAAACUAUAACACUUACUUUGAGACGAAGAGAAUAACUAUUAAAAACUAAUGUUCAAAUAGAAAGAAAAGAAAACAAAGAUUCCAUACAAAGCUUGCAAAAUAGCUACAAUCAUAACCUAGAACAAAAAUCAUGACCACACACUAUAUCCAUUUUCCUUUUCCUAAAAAGCAAUUGAAGAUAAAAAAAAAAAAAAUAAUAAAUAAAAAAAAAAAAAAAAAAAAAAAAAANACCACCAUACUACUACAAAUCCCCACCUCCACCAUCGCCUUCUCCUCCACCACCAUACUACUACAAAUCCCCACCUCCACCAUCGCCUUCUCCUCCACCACCAUACUACUACAAAUCCCCACCUCCACCAUCGCCUUCUCCUCCACCACCAUACUACUACAAAUCCCCACCUCCACCAUCGCCUUCUCCUCCACCACCAUACUACUACAAAUCCCCACCUCCACCAUCGCCUUCUCCUCCACCACCAUACUACUACAAAUCCCCACCUCCACCAUCGCCUUCUCCUCCACCACCAUACUACUACAAAUCCCCACCUCCACCAUCGCCUUCUCCUCCACCACCAUACUACUACAAAUCCCCACCUCCACCAUCGCCUUCUCCUCCACCACCAUACUACUACAAAUCCCCACCUCCACCAUCGCCUUCUCCUCCACCACCAUACUACUACAAAUCCCCACCUCCACCAUCGCCUUCUCCUCCACCACCAUACUACUACAAAUCCCCACCUCCACCAUCGCCUUCUCCUCCACCACCAUACUACUACAAAUCCCCACCUCCACCAUCGCCUUCUCCUCCACCACCAUACUACUACAAAUCCCCACCUCCACCAUCGCCUUCUCCUCCACCACCAUACUACUACAAAUCCCCACCUCCACCAUCGCCUUCUCCUCCACCACCAUACUACUACAAAUCCCCACCUCCACCAUCGCCUUCUCCUCCACCACCAUACUACUACAAAUCCCCACCUCCACCAUCGCCUUCUCCUCCACCACCAUACUACUACAAAUCCCCACCUCCACCAUCGCCUUCUCCUCCACCACCAUACUACUACAAAUCCCCACCUCCACCAUCGCCUUCUCCUCCACCACCAUACUACUACAAAUCCCCACCUCCACCAUCGCCUUCUCCUCCACCACCAUACUACUACAAAUCCCCACCUCCACCAUCGCCUUCUCCUCCACCACCAUACUACUACAAAUCCCCACCUCCACCAUCGCCUUCUCCUCCACCACCAUACUACUACAAAUCCCCACCUCCACCAUCGCCUUCUCCUCCACCACCAUACUACUACAAAUCCCCACCUCCACCAUCGCCUUCUCCUCCACCACCAUACUACUACAAAUCCCCACCUCCACCAUCGCCUUCUCCUCCACCACCAUACUACUACAAAUCCCCACCUCCACCAUCGCCUUCUCCUCCACCACCAUACUACUACAAAUCCCCACCUCCACCAUCGCCUUCUCCUCCACCACCAUACUACUACAAAUCCCCACCUCCACCAUCGCCUUCUCCUCCACCACCAUACUACUACAAAUCCCCACCUCCACCAUCGCCUUCUCCUCCACCACCAUACUACUACAAAUCCCCACCUCCACCAUCGCCUUCUCCUCCCCCACCUUACUAUUACAAAUCCCCACCGCCACCUUCACCAUCUCCCCCACCACCCUACUACUAUAAAUCACCCCCACCACCUUCACCAUCUCCUCCACCACCAUACUACUACAAAUCACCCCCACCGCCAUAUGAACACAAGACUAAACCAUACUAUUACAAGUCUCCUCCACCACCAUAUGAACACAAGACUAAACCAUACUAUUACAAGUCCCCACCACCACCUUCACCAUCUCCUCCACCACCAUACUAUUACAAGUCCCCACCACCACCUUCACCGUCUCCACCCCCACCAUACUACUACAAAUCACCUCCUCCUCCAUCACCUAUUCCCCAUACACCUUACUACUACAAGUCCCCACCACCACCUAAGGUUCUUCCACCACCAUACUAUUACAACUCUCCUCCUCCACCUGUUGUGUAUCAUCACCCUCAUCCCUACCACCAUGCAUUGAUCGUGAAGGUAGUGGGUAACGUCUACAGCUUCAGAUGUUAUGACUGGGAGUAUCCUGAAAAGUCUCAUAACAAGAAACACCUCAAAGGUACAUCACAUUACAUUUCUCAAUUCUUUCAUUUUUAUAGAUUUUAUGUACAUCACUAUUGGCUCGUAGUUUCUCAAUACCAUUACAACUAAACUGCAAGUUUCAGUAAUGAGAUUCAUAUAGACAUGUUUUUAUUAACAUCUUUGUUUCUUAGAAAUUAUACAAACACUUAAUUUAGGUUUCUCCAUGUCCAAUAAAGUAAACAAUUGAUAUAUCAAAUUAACAUAUAUGAUAUAUCAUUUACCUCAUUAAAAUUUAAUAAUCCUGCCUAAUAUAAAGAUUCGGUUUGAAAAUGAUAGUUUAGUGAGCUUCUUUAUAAUAACACUCUCCAAUAUAUUAUGUUUUAAAAACAAUUAUAUUUCUAUUUGUCUAAAUUCAAAUUUGUUAUGGGACAGGUGCUGUUGUUGAAGUGACAUGCAAAGCCGGGAGCAAAAUCAUCAAGGCUUACGGUAAAACUAAGAUCAAUGGAAAGUAUGCCAUCACAGUUAAGGACUUUGACUAUGUCAAAUAUGGUUCAACAGUGUGCAAGGCUGCCCUUUAUGCUCCACCUAAGGGUUCACCCUUCAACAUACCUACAAAGCUAAACCAAGGAACAAACUUGUACUUGAAAUCCAAAGACAAGUACGAGGUUGUGCUCAAGGCUAAGCCAUUUGCUUAUGCUUCAAAGAAACAUUUCAAAGAAUGUGAGAAGUCCAAGCCUUCACCAACUCCUUACUACUACAAAUCACCUCCACCUCCCUCACCAGUUUACAAGUAUAACUCACCACCUCCACCCGUCCAUUAUUACUCACCUCCAUAUUACUACAAGUCACCUCCUCCCCCCGUGAAAGCGGCACCAACUCCUUACUACUACAAAUCACCUCCACCUCCCGCACCAGUUUACAAGUACAACUCCCCACCUCCGCCAGUCCAUUACUAUUCACCUCCAUACACCUAUAAGUCACCUCCUCCUCCUGUGAAAGCAGCACCAACUCCUUACUACUACAAAUCACCUCCACCUCCCGCACCGGUUUACAAGUACAACUCACCACCUCCACCGGUCCAUUAUUAUUCUCCACCAUACUACUACAAGUCACCACCCCCACCAUCUCCAUCACCUCCUCCACCAUACUAUUUCAAAUACUAUUACAAGUCCCCACCUCCACCAUCACCAUCCCCUCCUCCACCUUAUUAUUACAAAUCUCCUCCUCCACCAAAACAAAUUUCACACCCUCCAUACUACUAUAAGUCACCACCCCCACCAUCACCAUCACCUCCUCCACCAUACUAUUAUAAGUCUCCACCUCCACCAUCACCAUCUCCCCCACCACCUUAUUAUUAUAAGUCACCACCCCCACCAUCCCCGUCCCCUCCUCCACCAUACUACUACAAGUCUCCACCUCCACCUAAAGAAAUAUCACAUCCUCCAUAUAACUAUAAGUCACCACCCCCACCAUCACCAUCCCCUCCCCCUCCAUACUAUUACAAAUCUCCUCCACCACCAUCACCAUCACCACCACCUCCCUACUAUUACAAAUCACCUCCACCACCAUCACCAUCACCUCCCCCUCCAUACUAUUACAAAUCUCCUCCACCACCAUCACCAUCACCACCACCUCCUUACUAUUACAAAUCACCUCCACCACCAUCCCCAUCACCACCACCUCCAUACUACUACAAAAGUCCCCCUCCACCAUCUCCAUCUCCUCCAUCCCCAUAUUACUACAAAUCUCCACCACCACCAUCACCAUCCCCACCCCCUCCCUACUAUUACAAAUCACCUCCACCUCCCUCACCAUCACCGCCACCUCCUUACUAUUACAAAUCUCCCCCACCUCCAUCUCCAUCUCCACCACCUCCUUAUCACUAUCAAAGUCCUCCUCCCCCAUCUCCCAUUUCUCAUCCUCCCAACUACUACAAAUCCCCUCCACCACCAUCGCCAUCUCCUCCACCUCCAUACCAUUACGUGAGUCCUCCCCCACCAGUAAAGUCACCUCCACCACCAGCUUACAUCUAUGCUUCUCCACCACCACCAAUCUACAACUAGCCUCACAACACCAAAUCACCAUUGGUGAUAAAUUAUGUAAGUUUACCAUUAUUGCAAUCAUAACACUUGCAUCUUUUCCCACCCAUACACACACAUAUCACAUGUUUAAAUUUUAUGUACUAAUCAACAAAAACUCUUAUUUGUUUUCAGGU
rnacentral:lncRNA from 1 species